rnacentral:sRNA from 1 species
ACUGUAUAGUGUUUAAUAAAUGUGAAUAUGGAAAUUUUGUUGCUGUAUCUUUUUUGCUCUAGUGGUAUGAAAGUGAAAAAAAACAAAUAGAUAUACUUGAUGGCAGGCGUGAGAAGCGCAGAGAAGGGCGGCCAGCUGGCAGUGUGAUGUAUACAGAACAAGUAUUGGGAAAAAGAAGAAGCGAUUCGCUGCAGGCAAUGCUGAGAGAGAGAAGCUGCUAAUGCUUUUAUUGGAUAUCGGAGUGGACGUGAGAAGCGUGGAGAGAAGCACCAGGCAAUGGUGUAAUGAGGUUUUAAACGAGAACUGAAGAGAGAAGCAUACAGCAAAAAUAAGACUACAAACGACUGCAGACUGUGCUGCUGUUACCAGUUGCUGACCCAAAUGUGAAAAGCGCUGUUGCAUCUUGAAGGGCUAAGAAAAAAUGUGCAGAUAGUUGAAGAAUCCAGCCCAACUACCUGGAUACCACAACAGGAGCACACCUCGACAAGCGGCCAAAACCCAACGGUUGGGAGGAACACAUGACAUUUGCCAAGCGCCACAAUUUGGGCAUUUUGAUCGCUUGCCUCGUCGAGCACAUGUGGCAAUGAGUGCAGCAUUUUGAGGGCCAACCAUACGAUUCUCUCAAUGUUCAGAUGGUUCUGCAGAUUGCACACACUGGCGUCGCCGCUGCAGUUCGACGACGCUAUGGCCGAUCGGGCGAUGCAGGAGGAGUCUGAAGGAUUGAAUGGUGCUGCUUUAACUGGAUGGAUUCAAUCUGACGUGUAGGUGUGCGGAAACGGAAAUGCUGUGCCUCGACUGCUGCUCGUCUGUCCAGACCGACACGUCCUAUGACUGGAAUGUUGCAGGCUGCUUACCGAACAGCUGCUCCACGACACUAUCUACAGGUCUGGUACGACCUGACCAGUUCUCCAGUAGAGUGGCAAGACCCGAUACAAAAUACUGUUUAGUCUGUUUAAAUUGCAUUCCAAUAAAAUUCAAUGCAGCAUCAAAUGCA